AGACCGAAUGUGUAGCCUCCGUGAUGCAAAUUAUAUUUAACCAGCUCAGGGGACUGAAUAUGGAUUGGUGCUUUGCAGAAAGACCUGAAGAGGGCUGAGGUCUGUAGUAGUCUUGAAAGAUGUUGACCUAUGUCUUCUCUUACUAAGAAAGAGAUUACUACCAUUCUGGAUAGCAUUAUUGUUCCAAGCAUGUGGUAAGCUUCUUUUGAUUAUUUAUAAGAAGGAUGCAUUGAGGAUGAAGUAAUAAACCAUGCUGGGAAUGAACUAGCAACUACUGUAAUCACUGAACAAUUUUAAUCCUCCCUUUCACAACCAUAAGAUGUGUUUUAUAAUUUUUCAAAUUCGUAUUUUAUAUACUAUCUUUUUCUUACAAUACCUGUGAUACUAGACAGUAUUCUCCUGCUGUUGCAGUGGGCUUAGACUCUAGCAGGCUGCAACUGUGGUCAAGAUCAGACAACCCAUGUUAGACACACAGCACCUGAAUGAACACAGAUCUAAGCUGCAAAUACUAGAACAGAUCAGUGAAGAAUUAACCAUUUUCUUGACCGAGUUUGUUAAAAGAUGAACUACUAAAUAUAUAUUAUCUAUGCUGUAAGCAAAAUCUAAUUUCUGUUUUUCAUAGACUGUUUUGUGAUGUCUUAGAAGAAGAAAGUCCUCAGCUCUAACUCCUGGUGCACAGCCAGACUCAAACUUCCUUAAAAGCAAAUGUGAAAUCUUUGUUUCAGCUUUGACCAGCGGAUGGGUCUGAGUUUACGAAGUUAAUUUAAGUCAAUUUGGAGUCCAUAUUCUUAUUUGGUUUCAGUACUCUAUUGCUAAUUAUAAUCAGUUAUAAAUAGGACCUUUCUAGGACUUGAUUUAGAUCUAUAGAUUUGGGGGUUUUUUUCCACAUUGUUUUUCUUAGUAAAGAUGGUAAAAGCAUGCUAGUUUUUCUCAUUCCACUUCUUCACUGAAGCUUCUUAAGAAAAUGAGAUACAAUAAAUCCAUUUAGGAUUAUGUUGAAAAAGCAUUUCUGCUUUUAAUAUUAACCAGAUUUUUACUGCUAAGUUUUGCUGGCAAAUCUCUGAAAGUUUCAGCUUGCAACUUAUCCGGAUCACUUAAAUCUACAUCGCUGGCUUUGCAGCCUUGCAAGAACAUCUGUUUUGAUUUUCAGUGUUAUCUUUUUUAGUCCUAGAACACUCUUCUUUAGUGUGAGUGAGAUUUUUUCAGAAUCUUAAAGGGCCUUAAUUUUAACUCCAAAACAUAAUGAAUAUCAGGAGGAAGUACCUCAGUGUAAUGUUUCUAGUACUCAGUGUAAUGGUGCUAGUACUUUCACUGAAUAUAUUCAGUGUAAAUGGACAAAGAAACAGCUGAAUGUUCAAGUCACACUUUUCUAUGACUUUAGAGAAACCUGGCAAUACAGCAGUGUUAUGCUCUACAUCU